CUUAGCAACUGUUGUCACACUUCUGGAGGCGGGUGGAGGAAGUCUAGCCUGGGCUGGGACUAGACCAGGGCAGGGAGCCGCGACCCUGACGGACGUGAGGUAGAGGGGGAGCAAUGGAGAAAGGGGGCCGGACAAACAGAACCCCACACAGAAGUGGCUGGCCCCAAGAAGCAAAGCAAGUCACCUGUGAACCAGGAAGCAAGAGAUGAGUCUUAACACUGACCUCCUACCCCACUAAUAAAACAAAAACACAGGA